UAAAGAUGGGAUGGAGGUAGAUACUACACCAACAGUUGUUGGCCUGUUUGGAGAUGCAAAUACUCAUCACUGAAAAUGAUUUAUGCUGCUUUGGAAUUGUCAUAAAUAGAGAAGAAAACUUGGUGCCUCUUCCACUGUGGAGUGGAUGUUGAUGAAAGUCUUUUUCCUUCUCUAAAACUUACCUGAACCCGUCCUUUUUUUUUUUGAAACAGACCAUACUGAGACAACAAGUUGUCACCAGCAGAAGAAACUAUGAUCUUUAUUUUAAAAGGGAGUGGAGUUAAACCAGUCAGUCUGGAAUUUUUUGUUCAGCCAGUGAAGUCAUCUUCGUGAAGAGGUCUCCUGCUUCUCCCCCUAGGGAAGGUGACCUCGCCUGAAACCAUCCUUUCUUUUCUUUUGCUAAUAACUUCCUUGCCCCACCCUCUUUUCUGCAGAACUACUGUAUACAACUCCUCAGACUUUUCUAGGUGGGACGUUGCUCAAUUCAGGAAUCAUUGAAUAAAGCCAAUGCGAUCUUCAAAUGUA